ACCUGCGACUGCAACACGAAAUGUGAUCUAAGCUUUUGCUCUACACAUCACAAUGGGCCAGAGGAAGGUAAAGCAAGGCCUCUGAGAUUCAAAUGACUUGCCUGAGUCCCUACACGGGCCAUUUAGAAACCUUCUAAUGUUUUUAGAAGACUGAGAUGAUCAGAAAUCUUCAAAGGUGUUUCUUUUACUUUAACGCACCCAAAAUUAAAACCUUUAUCAAGCUUCAA